UACGGAGGAUGCGAGCGUUAUCCGGAUUUAUUGGGUUUAAAGGGUGCGUAGGCGGACGCUUAAGUCAGCGGUAAAAUUGCGGGGCUCAACCUCGUCGAGCCGUUGAAACUGGGUGCCUUGAGUGGGCGAGAAGUACGCGGAAUGCGUGGUGUAGCGGUGAAAUGCAUGGAUAUCACGCAGAACUCCGAUUGAGAAGGCAGCGUACCGGCGCCCUACUGACGCUGAAGCACGAAGGCGUGGGUAUCGAACAGG
rnacentral:rRNA from 1 species